rnacentral:rRNA from 1 species
CCUACGGGGGGCAGCAGUGAGGAAUAUUGGUCAAUGGACGAGAGUCUGAACCAGCCAAGUAGCGUGAAGGAUGACUGCCCUAUGGGUUGUAAACUUCUUUUAUAUGGGAAUAAAAUGUUCCACGUGUGGGAUUUUGUAUGUACAAUAUGAAUAAGGAUCGGCUAACUACGUGCCAGCAGCCGCGGUAAUACGGAGGAUCCGAGCGUUAUCCGGAUUUAUUGGGUUUAAAGGGAGCGUAGGUGGAUUGUUAAGUCCGUUGUGAAAGUUUGCGGCUCAACCGUAAAAUUGCAGUUGAAACUGGCAGUCUUGAGUACAGUAGAGGUGGGCGGAAUUCGUGGUGUAGCGGUGAAAUGCUUAGAUAUCACGAAGAACUCCGAUGGCGAAGGCAGUUCACUGGACUGCAACUGACACUGAGGCUCGAAAGUGUGGGUAUCAAACAGGAUUAGAUACCCUUGUAGUC